UUUAAGCAUAUUACUAGUCUCUGUUAUUACCUUUGUUAAUGGAAUGUUAAAUGAUUAAGAGAUGUAUAAUUUGAGGAAGCAAUGUUUUUCACUUGAUUCAUAUUUAAAAGAAAGAGAAUUGAGAUAACCCUGCAAUGCCACCUAGGAGAAACAGAGCUCGCAUUGGUAGACUUUUAUUCAUUGCUGUCAAAGCCAGAAGAUAUUGGGAUACUGAAACUCAAAACCAGAGGUCCCACAGACUGUCCCAGCAGGCUGCCUAUGAUGCCACUGCCUGUGCAGUACAUGCACCUGCAACUUCUGCAACGAUUAAGACUUCAAAGUCUGAAGAAGAGCUUGUGAUCCACCAAGCCCAUCAUGCUGCAACUGUUGCUGCUGCAGGGCUACCGAGUCACCUCAACAAUGGACUAUCCCAUUGGCACGUCUUGCCAAAAAUGCUUCAACUGCAAGGGCUACUGAAUCACCUCAACAAUGGGCUAUCUGGUUGGUGUGUCUUACCAAAAAUGCUUCAGUUGCAACAGCUGUAGACUCUCCACAACAGUGCACAGCCUGAAGAAAGCGUAAUGCUGAAACUACUGCUGCUGCAAGGACUUCACAGCAUGCUCUGACAUUUAUUUUUGUACAUGCCAUUAUUCUAUUUGUGUGUUUAUGACUUUCAUUGACAAAAGAUUCAAUGCGGUUGUGUCAGGCAUUAUGAGUAAAAUAACUACAUGCUAAAAAUACUUUAGGUAAGAUAUAGGAUCCCUAAUGCCUACUGCAAUUGCGAACUUAUUUCAUGGACUUUCAUUUAUUACUAACUGCCAAAUUUGUGUUCAAAGAACUUUAUUCAUUACCUUGGUUGCAUAAUACCAUAUAAUAAACUGCUAACAAAAUUGGUAAUUACACAUUUUACAUUUAUCAACUUGUAACGACAUCUAACUGCACCAUUAUAAUAAAUUACACAAUCCAAAGGACAGGUGCAUUUGCUAGUAUAUAUAUAUAAGGAAAAGAACCUGAAAAUGCAGGAGUCCUUUAAAAGUAUUUAUUAACUUAACCGGUUUCACUAAUUGAAAAGAUUUUCAAAAGUAAAGAGUGAGGUUUUGUGUAUCCUCCGUGGUGUCAAAAAUUACUCUAUAAAAAUGUAUUCAAAUCAAAUGAUAGAGUCUUUGACAAUGAUAAGAAAAGUUUUGAGGCUUUGUGUAUCCUCUGUGAUGAGUCAAAAAAUAGUUUACAUAAAAACAUUCAGACCAGGUAAUAAAUCUUUUAUUUUUUUAUAAUGAUAAGA